AUGGUCAUGCUAUUGACCAAGGCCAGAGAGAUAUCUGUCUCUCUGCUGGAGUCCACACUCCAUCUCUUGUCGAAGCAAAUUGAAAUGCCUAAACAGUCUCUUGUUUCCAAGGCAUUUCACAAAAAGAAGGCAGUUGUAUGCAAGGAGGAGCAAUUGCAGGAGCUAGGGUGCAGUACCGGAGAUCUUGAGAGUGGAGCAGGACAUCUGUUCAGGAAAUUACUCUAG
rnacentral:rRNA from 1 species